CGAGGCUCGGAUUAAGAGUGACGAGUUCAGCUUAAUGAAUUCAUGAUUUGAUAGCUGCAGUAAGGGCUCAGAAAAUGAAAUUCGGGAACCGUGCCCCUCCCCAGAGACCGGAAAAACAUGAUGAGACAUGAAUGGUAAUGACAGUAGAUUGACAGUUUUGUAGAAAUGUAUAAUUCUGAGUUGUUUUCUGGUAAAAGGAAGCUAGCUGCGUGGAUUGACUUAAUUUUCUUCCCCCUACUAGAACUGGGAGUUCUCCAGUCUCGAACAAUCUCUGUGCAUCCUCACGCCAUUGCAGAAAUAACUCAAAACGAACUUUGGAAAACUCACAAGAUAAAAAUGUACCUGUGGCACAGUGACAGUCCCUUGGGCCGUCGAAGGCAAUAGGGAGGGAAGCACCCCUUUCACGACGGAGGGCUCAGGCCCACUCUGCCAUCGGGCUUGUGGUUUUACACAACACCUCACCCUGAGGUGGCCUUGGGGCGCAGUUCCGCUUCUCGCCAGCAGGGGCCGCUCAAACUCUGCUCUCCUCCUCCUCCACUGGAUGAAUCACCGGGCACGUGGCCCGGCCAAGUGAGACCCCCGCCCGGUCUCUUGCCCAGAACGAUGCAGUGUUAUGCGAGUGUACUGAAAAUGUCAACAGAUGUGUUGCAGUACAGUCCAUUGAGCAACACUUCCAACAGGCACAGCGCGGCUGACCUUGGAACAGCCCUAAGGAGCGCAUUGCCACGGAAGACACAGUAAGGUUUCCUAUUGAUCCUAAAGGGGGGGCCGCGAAGCCUGGCGAGG
rnacentral:lncRNA from 1 species